ACACCCUCAAGCUUCGCUUGGUGUUGGGCGCCUGUCCCGCCUUCGCGCGCGGACUCGCCUAGAAGACAUUGGCAGCGGUCGUGCCAGCUUCUCGCGCAGCACAUUGCGCUUCUCGAGGCUCCGGCGGACCAGCGUCCAUCAAGUCCACCCCCA
rnacentral:misc_RNA from 1 species